UACAGAGGGGGCAAGCGUUAUUCGGAAUUAUUGGGCGUAAAGGGCGCGUAGGCGGCUUGGCAAGUGGAUGGUGAAAUCCCUCGGCUUAACCGAGGAACUGCCCUCCAAACUGCUUCGCUUGAGACCGGGAGAGGUGAGUGGAAUUCCCAGUGUAGCGGUGAAAUGCGUAGAUAUUGGGAGGAACACCAGUGGCGAAGGCGGCUCACUGGACCGGUACUGACGCUGAUGCGCGAAAGCGUGGGGAGCAAACGGG
rnacentral:rRNA from 1 species